rnacentral:rRNA from 1 species
AUUGAACGCUGGCGGCAUGCUUUACACAUGCAAGUCGAACGGUAACAGGGUGCUUGCACCGCUGACGAGUGGCGAACGGGUGAGUAAUGCGUCGGAACGUGCCGAGUAGUGGGGGAUAACGCAGCGAAAGUUGUGCUAAUACCGCAUACGUACUGAGGUAGAAAGUGGGGGACCUUCGGGCCUCACGCUAUUCGAGCGGCCGACGUCUGAUUAGCUAGUAGGUGAGGUAAAGGCUCACCUAGGCGACGAUCAGUAGCGGGUCUGAGAGGAUGAUCUGCCACACUGGGACUGAGAUACGGCCCAGACUCCUACGGGAGGCAGCAGUGGGGAAUUUUGGACAAUGGGCGAAAGCCUGAUCCAGCUAUGCCGCGUGUCUGAAGAAGGCCUUCGGGUUGUAAAGGACUUUUGUCAGGGAGGAAAUCCCUAGUGCUAAUAACACUGGGGGAUGACAGUACCUGAAGAAUAAGCACCGGCUAACUACGUGCCAGCCGCCGCCGUAA